UUCAAAAUACGUGUCUUCUUCAUAUCCCCAAUACAAGUUCACUUUCUUUCCCUCCCAUGGCUUCACCACCGACAAUUAACCUCAUCUGGGUAGUCUUCUCCAGCGUACCCAUCGGAGAUCCCUGCUAUUCUUAGAACAUCACAGCUAACAGAACUUGAAGACGAUUGUUGCAGAAUAGGUCAAAAUUAGGGUUUGUAUUUUUUCAAAACAAACAGAGAUUAUGAGCACCUCCGUACAAUUUCCAGAAUAAAAAAUCGUGACCACCAUCUUCAACCAAACAGAGCACACGAUGGCGACGACCAACGGUGACACCCAUAUUUGUUGUUGCUAGCACGGUCUAAUAUUAAGGACUACCAUAACUACACAGUUGCACGCGUGCUGUUCUUGCGCAUAUGGGCGGAACAUUAUGGGGAUCUAUGAGGCACAUUAUACCAGCUUCCACAUCAACACUUAGCACCCCCGCUGCAACGCGGGGGGUGCUUCCUUCUAGUUGUUAGCUAAUUUUGACGUUAGAUUUUUCAAAUGUUUAGCUUAGUUCACUACUUCACUAUAUUAACCAACUAAUAUUAUCACCUACACAUAUUGUCGUUUGCAUU
rnacentral:lncRNA from 1 species